AUACUGUGAGGACACUAAUGCUUCAUGUAACUACAGUCUUUGCCAUGCUGAUCGAAGACGACGACUCUAGAAGUUCAGAAGCUUUCUAAGGAGAACACAACCCAGACUGAUGUCGUUCAGACUAUUCUAUUGAAAGAGCACGUGUGAUCCCGUUUAUAUGCACUCACAAUGUUAGCAUUCCUCUUUAUAAAAUACAAGGCAGCUGGGCUUUAAAAUGUGUUAAAAUCUAACUGAGAAAUUAUUCAAUUACUUUGUGAAUCAAAUUUUGAAUCAAAUUUCUUUAGGACUAAAAAACUAAUUAAGGGUAAGUUUUUGUUUGGGGCAUGGAAGUUGAAGAAUUUAACACUCAACUAAUCAGACUGUUCUUUGGGUUUGUGUGUAACUACAAGGAAGUUAAUUAUUUUUGCUUGAAUUCCUAGAUUUCUAAAACAUAACUGUAUAUAUUACGGAUACACUUAAAUAAAGACAAACUCUGUCAU
rnacentral:lncRNA from 7 species